rnacentral:rRNA from 1 species
GUCUAUGGCCAUGCUGCCCUGAACACGCCUGAUCUCAUCUGAUCUCAGAAGCUAAGCAGAGUUGGGCAUAGUUAGUACUUGGAUGGGAGACCACUUAGGAAGAUCGGAUGCUGUAGGUG